UUGAAACACUGAUUCUCAUAUGAUCACAGAAGUUAAGCAGUGUUGAAUCUGAUCAGUAGCUAGACGGGUGAUCGUUUGGGAAUACCAGGUGCUGUAAG